GAUGAACGCUAGCUACAGGCUUAACACAUGCAAGUCGAGGGGAAACGACAUCGAAAGCUUGCUUUUGAUGGGCGUCGACCGGCGCACGGGUGAGUAACGCGUAUCCAACCUGCCCAUCACUUGGGAAUAACCUUGCGAAAGUAAGACUAAUACCCAAUGAUAUCCCACGAAGGCAUCGGAAUGGGAUUAAAGAUUUAUCGGUGAUGGAUGGGGAUGCGUCUGAUUAGCUUGUUGGCGGGGUAACGGCCCACCAAGGCAACGAUCAGUAGGGGUUCUGAGAGGAAGGUCCCCCACAUUGGAACUGAGACACGGUCCACACUCCUACGGGAGGCAGCAGUGUGGAAGAUUGAUCAAUGGGCGAGAGCCUGAACCAGCCAAGUAGCGUGCAGGAAGACGGCCCUAUGGGUUGUAAACUGCUUUUAUAAGGGAAUAAAGUGGGUCACGUGUGACUUUUUGCCUGUACCUUAUGAAUAAGGACCGGCUAAUUCCGUG
rnacentral:rRNA from 1 species